UCCGAGGCUCCGUUCCCCACUUCCACCGUGGGCCCGUGGCAACUGCAACCUCACCGCCGUCACCAAAACUCUCCGAUGCCGCUGUAGACUUUCGCCAUCGUCUCCGCCGUUUCGCCACCAAAUCCGAAGAUUCUGCCUCAACCUUAUCGCUAUUCACUGUGGAUAUUUUCCAUUCAAAACCCUCGGGCACCCUCCAAACCCUUAGUCGGAAUCCUAACGCUUCCAUCCUGGACCUGGUAGACUGGGAUGAAUUCUCAAAGUCUCAAAGCUCACAGUUGCCGCCAAGUCAUUGGUGUACUUCACAUCUAUUGUUUUAUGUUAUACACUAAAGAAGGUUUCAAGGGGCAGAUAGUAGAUGCAGGUACCACGUUCUAUUGUGCUCUUUCCUGGAAUUCAUCUAUGAUCAAGGUACGUCUCAUGAUGCAGAUGAGCAUGUACUCCGUAAUAAUUGUCUCUCCAGAUCUUAUCCUGCUCUCUCCGGGAAUUCAUCAAUGGCCAAGGUACAUGCUAUGAUGUUGAUGAGUAUGUACUAAUUGUCUCUCCAAAUCCUAUCUUGCUUAUUGGUUCUCCACUUCUCCUAUCCAUGAAGCAAAUUAAAAGUUGUUUCUUCAGUGUUCUAUGUCUUCUUUUAAUUUGUUUUCCUUGUCCUCCUUGAUGGAAUAGGUUAGUUUCAAUUCUUUGCGAAUACCUUUCUGCCGGAAAGUGUACAAUGAAAUGUCAAACUGAUCCAACAUCCGAUCGGUUCUACAUUCUUUCUUAGUUUUUAUUAUAUGCAACACUCGACACUUCCCUUUUUGUGAGUCUUACUAUAAUAAUUUCAGCUAGAUGAAGUUUAGACUAAGAGUUGUCGAAAUUAGAAAUCAGAAAUGUGUUCUGUUAUUCUUCUAAUACAGAGGGAUCCCUAUUUCACAGACAUGCAUGUAAAACUGCUGCAUCUAAUUGAAAAGGUUUUACGAUUAUUCUCUUUGUUUGAUGUCUGUUUGUGACUUUCUCUGUUUUUGAAGGGAUAACUUUAAUAUUAGUUGUUUAUAGACAAAUGUUGCCAAAGGUUGUUUCGGAAUUACUUUAUCCUUUACAAGAAAAUAUAUCCCAAGUUGUUUGUCAGAUCAAAGGUUGUCACAGUGGUAGAUAAAAUUUUCUUAUUUAUUUAAUUGACAAAUUUAAGCGACAUCCUAAAAACUCUAGCUUGAAAUAGAGGAGUGCUUUCAAACGAUGUUAUACAAUUACAAAGGCUAAAACUUACCUGGUAAAAUGGCGUUGGAGGUGCAAUAUGUAUAGGAAGAAGUAGAUAGAACUGUUGACGAGAAUAUCAGUUAGAAUGCCAAGGAACCUAUCUUAUACUGUUCAUCCUCCUUGAUGCCUCUGUUGAGAGGAAAGAAGUUUUUAAGAUUCUACUUUUGUUUUGAUUAACAUUUUUCUAUUUUAUAAGUAAGUGCUUUUUGUUCUUCGUUAAAGCUGGAGUAGUAAUAAGCUUUUAAAUUGUUAUACUUCGGUCGAGUCUUCUGUGAAUCUCCAUCUAUUGAUCGUACCUUCAACUGCUGAAGCUCGUUGUAAACUUGUAAUACCCCGUUCUUUCAAACAAUAUUAUUUUAGUAUAAAUACCCUUUUUACCCUUUAAUACAAAUUACUUAACCUCAAAAUUAUUUUUAUGACAUUAGGCACCCUAGUAUUACUAUUUUCAAAAAAAUCCAAAUUCUUAUUCCAAAAUAUAGAUGAAACUACGGAGUAUUUUAUAACCUAUGCUUUUAUAAUCACAAUAGUAUGCCUUGAUUUAACCCUAGCCCAACCAACUCUCUUGAAUUUGAUAAAUUCCUACAAGCCCAACCCACAUUCCUUCUCUUUAACCCAUAACUCAUAUUCCCUUACCAUAUUCUAGAUCCACCUAGGGUUUUGGAUCAAAGGCUAUAAAUAGCUACUGUAGCUAUUUUCCUUCUUCAUUCCCCCUUGUUUUCACGCCACUCUCCCAAGCCAAAGCUGAAGAAACCAAACUCCAUUUUUAUUAAGGAAUCCUAAGGUUUGCCUGUUUGCGACUAAUGAGAGCGGUAGAAGCUGUAGAUCCUUUAUUCCUUUUUGUAGGAUCUUGGACUUCUUUUAUGUUUUGGAUAAGAUAUGAUUGUAGUACUAAAUACUUUACUCUAAACAUUGGAUGUAUGGUUUAACACUAGAUGUGGUUGAUGGGAUUUAUAGAACCCUAUUGUUUUGAAUGAA